rnacentral:tRNA from 1 species
GGUAUCUUGCUAAGGGGGCGGACUUAAGAUCCGCUAGACAUACCAGUCUGUGUGGGUUCAAACCCCACAGAUACCA